CUCAGUAGGACUUUCCCCUCAGACUCUUGUAAUAUAGACAGCCAGUGUGUGAUGAUAGUUUCUUGCAGGAUUUGUAUUUACCAAUAUCUCAGUAGGACUCUUCCUUCUGACUCUUGUAGUAUAGACAGCCAGUGUGUGAUUGUGGUUUCUUGUAGGAUUUGUAUUUACCAAUAUCUCAGUAAGGACUCUUCCUUCUGACUCUUGUAGUAUAGACAGCCAGUGUGUGAUUGUGGUUUCUUGUAGGAUUUGUAUUUACCAAUAUCUCAGUAGGACUCUUCCCUCAGACUCUUGUUAUAUUGACAGCCAGUGUGUGAUUGUGGUUUCUUGCAGGAUUUGUGUGAUUGUGGUUUCUUGCAGGAUUUGUAUUUGUAUUUACCAAUAUCUCAGUAGGACUCUUCCCUCAGACUCUUGUAAUAUUGACAGCCAAUGUGUGAUUGUGGUUUCUUGCAGGAUUUGUAUUUACCAAUAUCUUAGUAUGACUCUUCCUUCAGACACUUGAAAUUAUAGACAGCCAGUGUGUGAUGCUGGUUUCUUGCAGCAUUUGUAUUAACCGAUAUCUCAGUAGCACACUUCCUUCAGACCCUUGUUAUAUAGACAGCCAGUGUGUGAUGAUGGUGUCUUGCAGGAUUUAUAUUUACCAAUAUAUCAGUAGGACUCUGCCUUCAGAUACUUGUAAUAUAGACAGCCAGUGUGUGAUGGUAGUUUCUUGCAGGAUUUGUAUUUACCAAUAUAUCAGUAAGACUCUUCCUUCAGAUCCUUUUUAGUAAAAACAGCUAGUAUGUGAUGGUGGUUUCGUGCAGCAAUCGUAUCUACCAAUAUCUCAGUAGGACUCUUCCUACAAUCACUUGUUAUAGUAGACAGCCAGUGUGUGAUGGUGGUUUCUUACAGGAUUUCGUAUUUACCAAUAUCUCAGUAGGACUCCUCCUUCAGACCCUUGUAAUAUAGACAGUCAGUGUGUGAUGGUGGUUUUUUUUCAGGAUUUGUAUUUACCCAUAUCUCAGUAGGACUCUCACUUCAGAGACUUGUAAUUAUAGACAGCCAAUGUGUGACGGUGGUUUCUUGUAGCAUUUGUAUUUACCCAUAUCUCAGUAGGACUCUUCCUUCAGACACUUGUAAUAUAGACAGCCACUGUGUGAUGGUGGUUUCUUGCAGGAUUUGUAUUUACAUAUAUCUCAGUGUAACUCUUCCUACAGUCACUUGUUAAAGUAGACAGCCAGUUUGUAAUGGUGGUUUCUUGCAGGAUUUGUAUUUACCCAUAUCUCAGUAUGACUCUUCCUACAGUCACUUGUUAAAGUAGACAGCCAGUUUGUAAUGAUGGUUUCUUGCAGGAUUUGUAUUAACCAAUAUCUCAGUAGGACUCUUCCUUCACACACUUGUAAUAUAGACAGCCCGUGUGUGAUGAUGGUUUCUUGCAGCAUUUGUAUUUACCCAUAUCUCAGUAGGACUAUUCCUUCAGACACUUGAAAUUAUAGACAGCCAGUGUGUGACUGGCUUUCUUGAAGGAUUUGUAUUUACCAAUAUCUCAGUAGGACACUUCCUUCAGACCCUUGUAAUAUAGACAGCCAGUGUGUGAUGGUGGUGUCUUGCAGGAUUUGUUUUUACCCAUAUCUCAGUAGGACUUUAUCUUCAGACACUUGUAAUUAUAGACAGCCAGUGUGUGAUGGAGGUGUCUUGCAGGAUUUGUAUUUUCCAAUAUCUCAGUAGGACUCUUCUUUCAGACUCUUGUAAUUAUAGACAGACAGUUUCUUCACCAACUUGCAUGAAGACUUAGAGGCAGCUAGUACAUGGUAGUGUUAUCUUGCAGUAAUCAUAUCUACCCAUAUCUCAGUAAAAAUCUUCCUUCACACACUUGUAUUUAGAAGCAGCUAGUACAUGAUGAUGGUGCCUUGCAGUUAUCGUAUCUACCCAUAUCACAGUAAAAAUCUUCCUUCACACACUUGUGAUUAUAGACAGCUAGUAUGUGAUGAAUGUUUCUUGCAGUAAUUGUAACUACCAAUAUCUCAGUACGAAUCUGCCUUCAGACUCUUGUAAUUAUAGACAGCCAGUUUCUUCACACACUUGCAUGUAGAGGCAGCUAGUACAUGAUGGUGUGAUCUUGCAGUUUUCCUAUCUACCCAUAUCUCAGAAAAAAAUCUUCCUUCACACACUUUCAUGUAGAGGCAGCUAUAACAAGAUGGUGUUAUCUUGGAGUCAUCGUAUCUACCCAUAUCUAAGUAAAAACCUUCCUUCACACACUGUCAUGAAGAAGUAGCUAGUACAUGGCGGUGUUAUCUUGCAGUAAUCGUGUCUACCCAUAUCUCAGUAAAAAUCUUUCUUCACACACUUGCAUGUACAGGCAGCUAGUACAUGAUGGUGUUAUCUUGCAGUUUUUCUAUCUACCCAUAUCUCUGUAAAACUCUUCCUUCACACACUCGCAUGUACAGGCAACUAGUACAUGAUGGUGUUAUCUUGCAGUUUUCGUAUCUACCCACUCUGUAAAACUCUUCCUUCACACACUUGCAUGUACAGGCAGUUAGUACAUGAUGGUGUUAUCUUGCAGUUUUCCUAUCUACCCAUAUUUCAGUAAAAAUCUUCCUUCACACACUUGCAUGUACAGGCAGCUAGUACAUAAUGGUGUUUUCUUGCAGUUAUCGUAUCUACCAAUGUCUCUGUAAAACUCUUCCUUCACACACUUGCAUGUACAGGCAGCUAGUACAUGAUGGUGUUAUCUUGCAGUUUUGGUAUCUACCCAUAUCUCAGU
rnacentral:lncRNA from 1 species